rnacentral:misc_RNA from 1 species
AGUUGCAUAGUCAUUUCAACAUGUCGGAAAGAUACAGUUUUUCACUGACCACUUUUAGCCCUUCUGGAAAACUAGUACAGAUAGAAUAUGCCUUGGCAGCAGUGGGUGCUGGUGCCCCAUCCGUGGGAAUCAAAGGUAUGUCAGCAACUUUGUCUGCAAACUGUAAUAACCAAAACAUUAGUCUUUGAGGGGUCAAAAAUUUGUUGGUUUAAUUUGUUUAGGUGGAAUGAUUUUCAACCUUUAUAGAAAGUAAAACACUUUCAGAUAAAUGCAGAGCUAUGAAAAUGAUCAUUCUUACUAUUUAUGCAGGAUAAGAAAUGGCAGUUUUAUUUAGCAUAUACCCAGUAUGUUUAUGAACAUAAAAUCAUGUAUUACAAGUAUUUCUGACUUUCUUUUAAUUAUUUUAGAGUUUUGUUACGAAAUGCAAGAAAGUUAGCACAGAGCUAUUAUCUACAAUACCAAGAGAAUAUUCCUACUGCCCAGAUAGUUCACAAAAUUGCCAAUGUUAUGCAGGAGUACACACAAUCUGGAGGUGUCCGUCCUUUUGGAGUCUCAUUGCUGAUCGCUGGUUGGGAUGAGGAUGAAGAGAGGCCAUAUUUAUAUCAGUGUGACCCAAGUGGUGCAUACUUUGCUUGGAAGGCAACAGCAAUGGGAAAGAACUUUGUAAAUGGAAAAACAUUUUUAGAAAAAAGGUACAGUGAUAACCUGGAAGUGGAGGAUGCUGUCCAUACAGCCAUUCUGACUUUGAAGGUCAGAUGACAGAAGACAACAUAGAUAUAGGGAUCUGCAAUAAGGAUGGAUUCCGGCGGCUGUCUCCUCCUGAAGUGAAGGAUUAUCUCGCUUCUGUUCAAUAACAUUUUGUCUUCAUCUAGAUCUUGUUUCAUAGUGCUACUCAUUACAUGUGACAAUACUUAUUAAACACUUUGUACU